GGUUUCUCGCAGCAAAGCAGGAAGGGUUACAGUCUCUCCCUGUCUGUUACAGAGAAACCAAUAACAAUUGAGGACUAUCGUUGUGGCAGCCGUGAGCUGCCGGUUGCCACAUUUUCCUGCCUCUUACAAUU